rnacentral:rRNA from 1 species
CCUACGGGUGGCAGCAGUAGGGAAUUUUCGGCAAUGGGGGGAACCCUGACCGAGCAACGCCGCGUGAACGAAGAAGUUAUUCGUAAUGUAAAGUUCUUUUAACAGGGAAGAAAGAGAAAUUUGACGGUACCUGAAGAAUAAGCUCCGGCUAACUACGUGCCAGCAGCCGCGGUAAUACGUCGGGAGCGAGCGUUAUCCGGAAUUAUUGGGCGUAAAGGGUGCGUAGAUGGCAUAGUAAGUCUUUUGUAAAAAGGCUGGGCUCAACCCAGUAGGGCAAAAGAUACUGCAAAGCUAGAGUAUGACAGAGGCAAGUGGAACUACAUGUGUAGCGGUAAAAUGCGUAGAUAUAUGUAAGAACACCAGUGGCGAAGGCGGCUUGCUGGGUCGAUACUGACAUUGAGGCACGAAAGCGUGGGGAGCAAACAGGAUUAGAUACCCGAGUAGUC